AGACUAAUACCGGAUAACAACAGAUGAUGCCUAUCAACUGUUUAAAAGAUGGUUCUGCUAUCACUCUUGGAUGGACCUGCGGUGCAUUAGCUAGUUGGUAGGGUAACGGCCUACCAAGGCGAUGAUGCAUAGCCGAGUUGAGAGACUGAUCGGCCACAUUGGGACUGAGACACGGCCCAAACUCCUACGGGAGGCAGCAGCC
rnacentral:rRNA from 1 species